rnacentral:rRNA from 1 species
AUACGGAGGAUGCAAGCGUUAUCCGGAUUUAUUGGGUUUAAAGGGUGCGUAGGCGGUUUGCUAAGCGGGAGGUGAAAUGCCGGCGCUCAACGUCGGAAGUGCCUCCCGAACUGGUGGACUUGAAUGACUCUGCCGUGGGAGGAAUGUGUGGUGUAGCGGGGAAAUGCUUAGAGAUUACACAGAACACCGAUUGCGAAGGCAUCUCACGAAGGGUUGAUUGACGCUGAGGCACGAAAGCGUGGGGAUCAAACAGGAUUAGAUACCCUGGUAGUCCACGCAGUAAACGAUGAUGGCUAACCGCUGGGCUUAUCAGUUCAGUGGCCAAGCGAAAGCGAUAAGCCAUCCACCUGGGGAGUACGACCGCAAGGUUGAAACUCAAAUGAAUUGACGGG